UACGUAGGGGGCAAGCGUUGUCCGGAAUUAUUGGGCGUAAAGAGCGCGUAGGCGGUCCGAUAAGUCGGCUGUGAAAGUCAGGGGCUCAACCCUUGAAAGCCGGCCGAUACUGUCGGACUAGAGUCCGGAAGAGGCAAGUGGAAUUCCCGGUGUAGCGGUGAAAUGCGUAGAUAUCAGGAAGAACACCCGUGGCUAAGGCGGUUCUCUAGUACGGUACUGACGCUGAGACGCGAAAGCGUGGGGAGCGAACAGG
rnacentral:rRNA from 1 species